GAAGGCAGGCAGGCCACGCCCCUCCCUCCCUCCGCGUCCGGCUUCACAGGCCCCGCUCUGCCCACGGAAGCCCCGCCUUGCCAGCCUAGAUCUGGGCCGAGCGAGGCCUGUCCAUCAAUUAUAACUCCGUGGGCAGAGCGAGGCCCGUCCAUCAAGGCUGGGGGCGGCACGCAGCCAAUGGGGAGCCUCCGGUGGGCGGGGCGUCAGGGGCUCAACCAAUGGGAGCGGGGAGGCCGAGGACGUCGUCGCCGCCGCCUCGCCUCAGGCCUGGUUUGGCCUUCUCUCGAUCUUUGUGAGGCGGAAGGAAGAUGGCGGAGCAGAGGCUGGAGAGACUGAGGAGAGAGACUGAGGGAGGAUGAAGGGGAGGAGGACGCCAUGUCAGAACCCUGCUACUAGAGCCUGGAUGUGGCUCUGAGUUUCAGGGUCACUGACAUUGAUAAGACACCUGCGGCUCAGGACUUGGAGAAGAAACGGCUGCUGGACUUGGCGGGGAAUUUGCGCGGGGUUUUACUGAGCGGGAAGAGACUGUUCAAAUGAGGGGGAGGGUAUAUAAAGGAGGGUUGGCCGUAGUAUCCCAUUCUUGGCUUUUCUGAUGUUCAUGUUUCCUACAGUAAAAGUUUCUGGUGAUACCACA